GCGGGGGAGUCUAUAAUGCAGUCGAGCGAGCUGAUUCAAAGAUCCCUUCGGGGUGAUUUGUUGGACGCUAGCGGCGGAUGGGUGAGUAACACGUGGGCAAUCUGCCCUAAAGACUGGGAUACCACUUGGAAACAGGUGCUAAUACCGGAUAACAACAUGAAUCGCAUGAUUCAAGUUUGAAAGGCGGCGCAAGCUGUCACUUUAGGAUGAGCCCGCGGCGCAUUAGCUAGUUGGUGGGGUAAAGGCCUACCAAGGCAAUGAUGCGUAGCCGAGUUGAGAGACUGAUCGGCCACAUUGGGACUGAGACACGGCCCAAACUCCUACGGGAGGCAGCAGUAGGGAAUCUUCCACAAUGGACGCAAGUCUGAUGGAGCAACGCCGCGUGAGUGAAGAAGGUUUUCGGAUCGUAAAGCUCUGUUGUUGGUGAAGAAGGAUAGAGGCAGUAACUGGUCUUUAUUUGACGGUAAUCAACCAGAAAGUCACGGCUAACUACGUGCCAGCAGCCGCGGUAAUACGUAGGUGGCAAGCGUUGUCCGGAUUUAUUGGGCGUAAAGCGAGCGCAGGCGGAAUGAUAAGUCUGAUGUGAAAGCCCACGGCUCAACCGUGGAACUGCAUCGGAAACUGUCAUUCUUGAGUGCAGAAGAGGAGAGUGGAACUCCAUGUGUAGCGGUGGAAUGCGUAGAUAUAUGGAAGAACACCAGUGGCGAAGGCGGCUCUCUGGUCUGCAACUGACGCUGAGGCUCGAAAGCAUGGGUAGCGAACAGGAUUAGAUACCCUGGUAGUCCAUGCCGUAAACGAUGAGCGCUAGGUGUUGGGGACUUUCCGGUCCUCAGUGCCGCAGCAAACGCAUUAAGCGCUCCGCCUGGGGAGUACGACCGCAAGGUUGAAACUCAAAGGAAUUGACGGGGGCCCGCACAAGCGGUGGAGCAUGUGGUUUAAUUCGAAGCAACGCGAAGAACCUUACCAGGUCUUGACAUCCUGCGACAACACCUAGAGAUAAGGUGGUUCCCUUCGGGGACGCAGAGACAGGUGGUGCAUGGCUGUCGUCAGCUCGUGUCGUGAGAUGUUGGGUUUAAGUCCCGCAACGAGCGCAACCCCUUGUCUUUAGUGCCAUCAUUAAAGUUGGGCACCUUCUAGAAGAAGACUGGCCGGUUGACAAACCGGAAGGCAGUGAGGAAUGAACGGUCCAGGUCAAUCCAUGUCCUCAUUAAUGGACCAUGGGGACCUUAACAACAACC
rnacentral:rRNA from 1 species